rnacentral:rRNA from 1 species
CACGUAGGGCGCGAGCGUUGUCCGGAAUUAUUGGGCGUAAAGAGCUCGUAGGCGGCCUGUUGCGUCCGCUGUGAAAGCCCGGGGCUUAACCCCGGGUCGGCAGUGGAUACGGGCAGGCUAGAGGUAGGUAGGGGAGAAUGGAAUUCCCGGUGUAGCGGUGAAAUGCGCAGAUAUCGGGAGGAACACCGGUGGCGAAGGCGGUUCUCUGGGCAUUACCUGACGCUGAGGCGCGAAAGCUAGGGGAGCAAACAGG